AUGGGCGAAGCUUACGGUUAUCGAAAGGACGAAGCACCACUUGUAGCUGCUGUUACUAAAUCUGCCAAUAACACACCCGCUGCGGUGAAAGAUUUAAACAAUUUCAAAACCGAUGUAGUUAGUGAAUUACAAGGACAAAUAAACAGUCUAACCCAAGCCGUGUCAAAACUUGCCACAAACUUUUCACAGCAACUAGAUAAUUCUCGUGAUGUAAAAGAAAACGAUCGGUUUUUCUCGUCCACGAAAUCGAGAUCGUCAAGUAUAUCAAUAUGACCGUGGACUGUGCCGUAAAUGUCAAGCGCCAGGACACUUUGCACGUGCCUGCAAUUGGAAUGAACAGGGUAAUAUAGAUUCCUCAUUUAUUUGUCAUAUUUGUGGCCAAACGGGCCAUAAGAGUCCACAGUGUGUAAACUAUUCGGGAAACCGGAGGAACCCGGGGUUCACAGGGCAGGACCCCCGGGGCGGCGACUAGAUAAAAUUUCUGUACACGAGUCUGCCCAUGUUAUUAAUAACAUUUCUGAUAAAACUGUAAAUUAUUCAGAAUCAACUGAAUGUACAAGUGACGACGAUUCAACAUUUGUUUGUAAAUUUUUGUAUAUGCCUGUGCGAAUUGCAAAUCAGGAAAUUUCAGCAUUAAUUGAUACAGGUAGCUCAAUAAAUGUCAUGUCUUCGCAACUUUUUAAUUCAAUACCCGAUUCCAUGAAGUCCGAGUUUCAGUGCUACGAGUGACAAAAUUACUUUAGCGAAUAAUCAAACAGUGCAAAUUUAUGGAACUGCUAAGGUUAAGAUUACUGUGCCUCAAGGAAAGCACUGGAUUCAUGUAUAUAUUUUAGCGCAAACAUCGCAUCCUUUAAUUUUAGGAACGCAUUAUUUGUAUUCCAAGAAUAUCGUUCUUGACUUUAGUGAUUGUUGCAUAAAAUCUAAACAGUUCAAAGUUCUAACUCAAAGUCCUGCUUCUAUACCUCCGAAUUCAGAAGUCCUUAUUUGGGGACACGUAAAUGGAAAAGUGCAAUAUGGAAUGCAAGGUAUAUGUACUUCUAAAAUAUCUAAAGACCGAGGAGUCAUAAUAUCAAAAGCUGUAGUGACAGUAAAUCGAGAGAAACAAGUCCCGAUUAAAAUAUUGAAUUUUACUAAUGAAACUGUACAUUUGAAUAAAGGACAGAUUUUAGCGGAGCUUGAACCAUUUUCUAAGGAUCAUGUAUGUAUGCCUUUGAGUGAAAAUAAUGACACUCAUUUUGUUCAAAAUAUUCAAUUGUCGACUGAACCGGUGAUUAAAGAUACUGAGAUCGACUCUAAAUUUAUUUCUUAUUUUAAUAUUCCCGAAUACUUAACUGAAGUACAGAAAUCGACAUUGAUUGAAUUUUUACAUUCUAAUAAAGAAUUAUUUGUAACCGAGGAAAACCCUGACUUAGGCUUUACCAAUGUUGUUCAACACCAAAUAUGUUUGAAGCCCGACUUUAAACCGAAACACCAACGUUCAUAUCGUUUAACUCCUGAAAAGAAGGAUAUUCUAAGACAUCAUUUAGAUGAACUUUUGAGACAAGGUGUAAUUGCACCGGUAGACGAAACAGAAGAUGUCCCUAUUACAAGUCCGGUUGUACUUGUGUCGAAAAGAACGUACCAAAAAGGCAAAGCAAAUGCUUCAUCGAAAGAGACUAGUUUGUCAAAAUUUCGUUUCUGUUGUGACUUUAGGUAUUUAAAUUCCAUGACUCAGCACUUUUCGUAUUCAAUUCCAGAUUUACAAGAUCUCACUGAAUCGUUUUCUACAAAAACACCGAAUUUUCUGACAUCAAUAGACUUAUCGUCUGGAUUUUUUCAGCUACCGAUUUCAAAAGACAGUCAACGUUACACAGCCUUUAAUACAUGUUUUGGUACUUUUAAAUUUUUAAGAUUACCGAUGGGACUGAGCUCAUCUCCAGCAUCUUUUCAACUGUUGAUGGAUAAAGUACUUAAAGGAUUAACUUUUAAAUCAUGUUUGUGCUAUCUUGAUGAUAUCCUUAUUGCAUCCGAAACAUUCGAUCAGCAUAUUGAAGAUUUACGGAACGUUUUUCAAAGACUUUCGAAUGCUGGUUUAAAGCUGGGACCCAAAAAGUGUACUUUUGCUCAGAACUCUUGCAUAUACUUAGGUCAUAAAAUUUCAAAUAAAGGAAUUGAGCCACCACCGGACCGUGUUCAGGCCAUCGUUGAUUAUCCUAUACCAAAAAAUGUGAAAGAGUUACGCCGCCUUGUUGGUUUAUUUAAUUGGUUUCGGAAAUACAUCAAAAAUUUCAGUGCUGAAAUGGAACCUCUGACGAGACUUUUAAAGAAAUAUGAACGUUUUAGCUGGACCGAUGAACAACAACGUGCAUUUCAGAAUGUUAAAUCACUCCUGCUAGAUUCUCCUAUUCUAGCCUUUCCAAACUUCAAUUUACCAUUUAGACUUGCUGUAGACUCUUGUUGUAAGGGGAUUGGUUACGUGCUAUAUCAGAAAAUGAGCGAAACUGAUGAAAUUCGUGUUAUACGAUUCGGAUCUAAGGCACUUAGUAAAUGGCAGAAAUCAUAUGGCCCAACAAAGCUAGAAUUACUUGGCAUGGUUACCGCCGUUUUAGAAUGUUCAUCAUACCUACGUACACAGCCGUUUGUUAUAGAAUGCGACCACCAAGCGUUGAAACCGCUAUUUAGCAACCAACUGAAAGGCGCCAUUUAUGAGCGAUGGAUUGCUAUUUUGCAGCAAUAUAAUUUUGAAAUUCAAUACAAACCUGCGAGGGAAAUGCAAGUUCCGGAUGCUUUGUCACGAUGCACGCAAGAGACUAAUAACGCCUUUGAAAGUCCAGACGAGCAAGAUCCGUACUUCCCAUAUGAACCGGAAAAUACAGGUCAAAUAAUUGUUCCAGGAGGUAUUCAAUUGACCACUUUAUUACAUGACUCGGAUACUAGCGACAGUAAAAAUUUACAAUUGAACAAUAUUUGUCUGCCUGCGCCAGUUCCGAUGUACACCGUCGAUAAUAGUGUUCCACGCAAAAAUGUAUUGUUACAGGCACAAAAUGAAUAUGAUGCCGACACUGAAGACAUUGAUCAACAGUUUGCACGUGUAGCAAAGAAACGUAAACCGCGAAAAACGAUACAACUUUACCCACGAAAGAAAUAUAACGUAGUGAAAAAAUCAGAACCUUUGAAUAAACUGACCGAUUGUGACUCAAAGCAUACUCAAAUAUCGAUUUCUGAUCAGUUGAACCAGUUUGAAAAAGUUUAUCAACAAAUCACUCAGUCGACUAAUUUACCAAAAUCGGAUCAAAUAUUUGAUCAAAGUACUGAUAGUGCUACUUCUCAAUGUGAUGCAACAUUUUUCAAUCAAAGCACUGAAAGUUCUCAAAAUGAAGAGCCAGACAAAAUAUUUAAUCAAAGCACUGCAAGUGAUAAUGUACAGGAUUCGGACAAAAUAUUUGAGCAAACUACUGACGUUAAUGAAACGCAGGUUACUUAUAUUAGUGAAAAUGAAAUCACGAACAAUUAUACCAACAAACGAGACUCUGAUACUGGUAUUGAUAGUGAUCCAAAUGUAAAUAUUUUGAAAUCGAUUGACAUUUUUCGGGAAAAGGGAUUUAGCAUAGAGUCGAUACAUGAAUUGCAGCGUAAUGAUACAAACUGCAGACCGUUAAUUAAGUAUCUUGAAAGAAACGAACUACCAAAGCUGCAGAAAGAAGCGCGCAGACUUCUUUUAUUAAUACCAAAUUUUCACUUGAUCAAUGGAAUAUUAUUUCAUACACGAAAUAGGAAAUCAGUGCGUGCAAAAACAAUGAAUAAUUUUCAGCUAGUUGUCCCGGAAAUUUCAUUGAAAACAAUAAUUGCAUUACAUCAUGAUUCGACAUUAGGUGGACAUUGUGGUAUACAAAAUACUCUUGAUUUAAUCCAAGAACAGUACUAUUUUCCGAAUUUGAGUGAAAAAGUAACUGAUUAUAUUCGUUCAUGUCAUGAAUGUCAAAGCAGGAAAAAUACCACACUAAAAACAAAAGCGUCCAUUACGUCAUUUCCUACGCCGUGUGCACCAUUUGAAGUUUGGGAAAUGGACCUUCAAUAUGGACCCGUCCCUGUCUCUCGAAGUGGCAAUUCUUACAUUUUUACUGCAAUUGACUUAUUUAGUAAAUACAUGUUUGCAGAGCCGAUACCUAACACUGAUCCGUUAACAGUCGGAAAUGCUCUUUUUAGAUUAGUCACGCAAUUUGGAGUUUGUCGAACUAUCGUUAGUGAUCAAGGAUCGGAAUUUAUUGGUAAAUGUUUCCGAGAAGUUUGUCGUUUAUUGGAUAUUAUUCAGGAAUAUACCCCUAGCUUCGCUCAUCAUUGUUUGGGAGCAUGUGAGAGACCUCACAGAACUUUAUCGGAAAGACUAACACCGUUUAUUGUAAAAGGAAAACCAUGGGAGGACGUAUUACCGGGAAUAGUAUUUUCGAUGAACAAUACGCCAAACCAAAGUGUUGGAUUUUCGCCUUUUGAAAUAGUGUUUGGGAAAAGACCCCAAUUUCCGUUGUCUCUACAUAUUAAGGACACCGACUUUUCGUCUGUACCUAAAGAUUGCCAUACGUAUCUGAAACAGCAAUGUGAAAAAUUAAACAUUAUACGUACUGAAGUCGAGAAAAAUGCUAUCAAUUCAAAAGUUAAAAUGAUGGACCGAGUAAAUAAGGACAAAAUAUCAAAUAUUUCAUUUAAUGAAAACGACUAUGUUUAUUUGUUGAAAGAGCCAACCGGGUCAGGACAAAAAUUUAAGAAUAAAUUUGCCGGUCCAUAUGUGAUUUCUGCAGUAAAUAGCCCUCAUAUGUACACCCUGAAGGACCCACACACGAACAAAAUUCUAUCAAAGUCAGUGCAUAUCAAUAGACUGAAAUCUGCGUAUGUGAGAAAACCAAAUCCGUCAAAAUAUUUUAUGGACCCUGUUCAUACGAAACUAGACGAUGUUGAAGUGCAAGAUUAUACAUCUAUGGAUGAGGAUAAUACGCCUGUUAAGGACAACCAGAACACCAAUUAUGACAAUUUAUCUGAAAAUACUUCCGAUUCUGAUAAUACAAGCAAAUCAGACAAUAUUUUGAUUGUUGAAAAUAGUACAGCCAUGUCUCGCCCAAAGCGCACUAAGAAAUUACCCGCUAGGUUCAAAGAUAAUAAUUUCAUUCAUUUUAGUGAGGUUGACGUAUCUAGCGAAUCAACGUCUGCAAGUCAGUUAAAAGUGAAAAGAUUUCUAGCGCACAAAAUUAUGAAUGGAAAAAGAGCGUAUCUUGCUCAUAUAGUUGGUGAACCAGCCCAACACGCUAUGUGGCUUCAAGAACAUCAGCUUGGACCGAAAGCAAAGGCCAAAUUAAAAUCUCGACCUCCGCCAAAAAUUUAA
rnacentral:sRNA from 1 species